UACGUAGGGGGCGAGCGUUAUCCGGAUUCACUGGGUGUAAAGGGAGCGUAGACGGCCAAGCAAGCCAGGGGUGAAAGCCCGGGGCCCAACCCCGGGACUGCCCUUGGAACUGCAUGGCUGGAGUGCGGGAGGGGCAGGCGGAAUUCCUGGUGUAGCGGUGAAAUGCGUAGAUAUAAGGAAGAACACCAGUGGCGAAGGCGGAUUACUGGACGAUAACUGACGGUGAGGCGCGAAAGCGUGGGGAGCAAACAGG
rnacentral:rRNA from 1 species